rnacentral:lncRNA from 1 species
AAAACCUUAAGAAGAAGGUGGAAAUCGCCCCUAGAGGCUGCUGGGUUCGAGAGAUGAUAAAGUAAAACCCUAGAAAGGGGUUUUUAAACGCAAAAUCGUACUGUCGGAUCUGCACAGAGGCGGCCGCCGCCGUGUAACGGCGCCGCCGUGAGGGCCUUUCGCAGAAUGGGCACGGCGGCCGCCGUCCCACGGCGCCCGCCGUCUACUGCAAUGCGCAGC